rnacentral:rRNA from 1 species
ACGAACGCUGGCGGCAUGCCUAACACAUGCAAGUCGAACGAACCCUUCGGGGUUAGUGGCGCACGGGUGCGUAACACGUGGGAAUCUGCCCUUAGGUACGGAAUAACUCAGGGAAACUUGAGCUAAUACCGUAUGAUGACUCCGGUCCAAAGAUUUAUCGCCUAGGGAUGAGCCCGCGUCGGAUUAGCUAGUUGGUGAGGUAAAGGCUCACCAAGGCGACGAUCCGUAGCUGGUCUGAGAGGAUGAUCAGCCACACUGGGACUGAGACACGGCCCAGACUCCUACGGGAGGCAGCAGUGGGGAAUAUUGGACAAUGGGCGAAAGCCUGAUCCAGCAAUGCCGCGUGAGUGAAGAAGGCCUUAGGGUUGUAAAGCUCUUUUACCCGGGAUGAUAAUGACAGUACCGGGAGAAUAAGCUCCGGCUAACUCCGU